rnacentral:rRNA from 1 species
GAGUUUGAUCAUGGCUCAGAAUCAACGCUGGCGGCGUGCCUAACACAUGCAAGUCGCACGAGAAAGGGGCUUCGGCCCUGAGUAAAGUGGCGCACGGGUGAGUAACACGUGACUAACCUACCCUCGAGUGGGGAAUAACCUAGAGAAAUCUGGGCUAAUACCGCAUAACACUUACGAGUCAAAGCAGCAAUGCGCUUGAGGAGGGGGUCGCGGCAGAUUAGUUAGUUGGCAGGGUAAUGGCCUACCAAGACGAUGAUCUGUAUCCGGCCUGAGAGGGCGCACGGACACACUGAAACUGAAACACGGUCCAGACUCCUACGGGAGGCAGCAGUGGGGAAUUUUGCGCAAUGGGGGAAACCCUGACGCAGCAACGCCGCGUGGAGGAUGAAAUCCCUUGGGAUGUAAACUCCUUUCGAUAGGGAAGAUAAUGACGGUACCUAUAGAAGAAGCCCCGGCUAACUUCGUGCCAGCAGCCGCGGUAAUACG